ACAACUAAUAUAAUUAACGAACAAUUUUUCUAGUUGUUUAAGUGAUUUUAUCUUUUUAACUUAUAAACUCAUUUAUUUCCUUUUUGACCUGUUUUUUAAUUAAAUAGUUGGGAAGGUCUCACUUUUCUCUCGUGAUUACAGUGAUCUGCAUCUUCAACAAUUUCACUUAAAAAGCUUGCUCGGACUCCAAUGUAAAUUUUCUCCGGCAAAAUUCUUCUUCAUCGGUUUCAGUUUCAUUUCUUAUUGCUGGAGAUAUUACAGAUUCCGAUAAAGUCACCAAAUAAAUUAUCUCUGAAUCUUCUAUGUUCGAUGGCUUUGACGAUCUGAUUUAUUGACGGAGAAGAGAUACGAUAGGGAGGUUCGCGUCCCCCAUAGUGAAUAUGUAUACUUUCUAGUUCGUGCGAUCACACGCAUUAAGGACCUACCAUCUGGGGGAGAGCUGGCCUAUAUAGACUUGAUUAGGAUUCGAGAUUGGUUCUUGAGUUGACAUUGAAGUGGUGAGCUUCCAUACUUCGGAAGUCUACAUUUCAUGUUUUGGUCUCUUAUGUCCCAGACUAUUUAGACUUGUUUUAGGCUAUAUUGGGGACAUGUCCCGACACUUUAUUGAUACUCACUUUUGGUAGACGAUUUGUUUGGAUUACUGUGGAGAUUGGGUGAUUUUGGUCAGUUGUUUGGCCGGUCAUCGGUCGUCGGUUAUAGACAUGUUUUGAAUUUCCUUAAACUUGUUGUAUGUUGUCUUGUUAUAUGUCCAGGAUUCAUCCGACAUUGGGGAAUGUUGUGUUUAGUUUGGUUAGGUGCAGGGGGUGAUUUUCGAUUCAUAUGGGACUUAGAUACCUAUCACGGCCAAACCCUAUUUUGGGUCGUGACAAUAUCAAAACUAUGCUCCCACAAAUCCAUUACCUCAAACUACACCAAAACGAGUUUAAAAUAAUGAAAACCAUUUAUGUGGGUGUGUCUAAUUUUAUUACUUCUCUUUAAAAACAUAACAGAGCAGAAGAGCAAUUAGAGAAAUAAAUUUAUCGAAGCAGUGGUCUACCAAGACAAUUGGUUAGUAAGCUUAUUCUAAUGUACAAAUUAUAGGGUAAAAAGAUGCUUAGUAUGGAAUAUGUAAAAGAAUAACAUGUUUCUUCCACCAACUUCACCCAAUUAGUAAACAAAUUAGGGAGACGUGUACUGGCCCCAAGAGAAGGAAAAUAUUACUCCCUCAUUCAACUUCUAUCAUCACCAAAUCAUUACUGUCGCUAGUCCAUGCUUUCCAUUCUCAUCAUAAUUACAAUCAUCAGCUAGUCCAUGCUUUCCAUUCUCAAUUUAAUAUUAUUACUACAUUACUGCCGCCUCACCAAAUAUAUCUAUAUCAAAGAACUACAAAUAACAUUCGUACCUUAUCACUUCACGAGGAUGUCUACUAACAUUGUUUAGAUACUCUCUAUUUUUUUUCCUUACGCAACUUGCUGCCUCCUCCAAAAUAAUGGGAUCAAAAAUAGCCAUAGAGUUUUACUUAUAACAUUUUUAUUGUGAAACUGAAGGGAGAAGGGUAGGCUUUUGGCUUGUUCCUUUAAUUACUUCAAUUAAUAUUAAUAAUUGGGUAAAAUUACCAAUCAACCCUUCAUUAAAAAAUAAGUUGGACUAUUGCAUUCUCCUCCGCUUAAGUAACGUUCAUCCUCGAACGGGUCUAGAAUCUUACCUGAAGUUCCAAAUAAGUGAAGAUACCUAACUCGCACCUCUUCCUCGGAAUCCCAAGUAGCCUCCCCUAUUUGAUGAUUAUGCCAUAAUACUUUGACUGAAACUAUCUUUUUCGAUCUCAACUAUCGCACUUGCCUAUCAAGAAUAGCUAUCGAGCUUUCCUUAUAAGUCAGAUUCUCAUCAAGCUCUACAUCCUCCUGCUGGAUCUUAUGACUAUCAUCACGAACAUAUCUUCUAAGCAUUGACACGUGAAGCACAUGAUGAACCAUGAAAAAUCUCAGAGGUAAAGCAAGCCUAUAUGACACCAAUCUAAUUCGGUCCAAAAUCUCAUAACCAAUGUAUCUAGGACUUAGCUUACCUUUCCGGCCAAAUCUCAUAAUUUCUUUUAUGGGAGAAACUUUCAAAAAGACUUUUUCCCCUUUUAAAACUUCAAAUCACAGACCCUCUUAUCUGCAUAGGAAUUCUGCUACUUUGUGACGUCUUAAGUUGGUCCCAUAUUAUUGCAACCUUCUCCAAUGCUUGUUGAACUAAAUCUAGACAUAACUAUGCUUCGACGGGCUCAUACCAGCCAACUGGUGAAUAACACUUGUGGCCAUAUAGAGCCUUAUAUGGUGCCAUUUGAAUGCUUGGCUGGUAGCUAUUAUUCUAAACAAACUUUGCCAAAGGCAACUGGUCAUCCCAAUGGAUACCAAAAUCAAUCGUGCAAGCUCCAUGCAUGUCCUCCAAGAUCUGAAUAACUUGUUCAGACUUCCCAUUGGUAUAUGGAUGAAAGUUGUACUCAACUCAACCUGUGAAUCUAAUGACUUCUGAAAACAUUUCCAAAACUCAACAGUGAACUGUUUACCUCGAUCAAAUAUGAUUGAAAUAGGCACACUAUGAAGCUGAACUAUCUCUCAAAGGUAAAUUUUCGUUAACCAUUUUGUGCUAUAAGUAACCCGAAUUGGUAUGAAAUGGGCAGAUUUUGUAAGUCUAUCCACUAUUACCCAAAUUGAGUCAUGUUUCCUGAAGGUACUUAGCGACCCAACAACAAAAUCCAUAGUAAUCCUUUCCUACUUUCACUCCCGGAUAAUCAAUUUUUGCAUCAUUCCGCCAAGUUUUUGAUGUUUAUAUUUGACCUACUAAUAAAUUAAACAACUAGUCACAUAUUUCAAAAUAUCAAUCUUCAUACCUUUCCACCAGUACAAUCCUUGCAAGUUUUGAUACAUUUUCAUAGCACCAGGGUGGAUAGAGCAUCACGAGCUAUGAGCCUCUUUAAGAAUUAGCUGCCUCACAUCACCUACAAUGGGAACACACAAUCUCCCGUGAUGAUGUAACACAACUUCACCACCAAUAGUGAAGGACUUAACACCUACAUUCUACACUGGAUCUUGAAACCUAGAAAGGUAGGGAUUAUCAUAUUGGCAAGUCUUAAGUUGCCUACCUAAGGACGAAUGAACCACCAUAACAGUAACUUUCUAGACACUGUGUGAUCAAUUCAAACUUCAUAAUUGGCAAAAGACUGAAUAUCCUUAACUGUAGGUCAUCUUUCGGCAGAACAUCAGGCCAAGCUACCCAUAGACUUCCUACUCAAAGCGUCUGCUACUACAUUCUCCUUCCCAGGAUGAUACAAGGUGGUGAGAUCAUAAUCUUUAAGUAACUCUAACCACCGUUAUUGUCUCAGAUUCAAAUCUCUUUUCUUGAAUAAGUACUGCAGACUCUUGUGAGCAGUAUAGAUUUCACACGGCUCACCAUAUCUUGAGUGCAAAUAUAAUCGCGACUAAUUUCAAGUUGUGAACUGGAUAAUUCUUCUCAUGGGCCUUUAGCUAUCGAGAAACAUAUGCCACCACUUUACCAUUCAACAUUAACACACAACCCAAUCCAAUUCGAGAUGCAUCAUAAAAAAUAGUGAAACCACCCUUUGCUAUAGGUAAGGUCAAAAUCAUAACCUAAUUCAAUGUUGUCUUUAAUUUUUGAAAACUUUCUUCACAUUUAUCUGACCACAAAAAACCAUAUUUUUCUAAGUCAAGCAGGUUAAUAGGGGAAACUACCUUCGAUAAACCCUUUACAAACCCCCUGUAAUAAUUAGCUAGUCCCAAAAAGCUACGUAUCUCUGUAACAGUUUUAGGUCAAGGCCAAUAUCGAACUGCUUCAAUCUUCUUUGGAUCAACAUAAAUCCCAUCUCUUGACACCACAUGCCCCAAAAAGGUAACCAUGCCCAAUUAAAACUCACACUUUGAGAAUUUGGCAUAAAAAUUUUGUUCUGUAAGUGUCUGCAACACAACUCUCAAGUGUUGUCCAUGUUCUACCUCACCCCGAGAGUAAACCAAAAUGUCGUGAAUGAACACAAUCACAAAAUAGUCUAAGUAUGGCUUGAAUACCCUGUUCAUGAGGUCCAUAAAUGAUACAGGUGCAUUGCUCAGUCCAAAAGAUAUCACUAAAAAUUUAAAAUUCCCAUACCUGGUCUGGAAGGUUGUCUUAGUGAUAUCUUCGGCCUUUAUUCUCAGCUGAUGUUAACCAGAUCUCAAGUCAAUUUUAUAAAAGUGGGUAUCACCCUAUAACUUAUCGAAUAGAUUAUCAAUACGAGGCAAAGUAUAUUUAUUCCUUAUUGUUGCCAUAUUUAACUAUCUGCAGUCAAUGCACAUCCUCAUCGUGCCAUCUUUCUAUUUCAUAAAUAGUACAGGUGCACCCCAAGAUGAGAUAUUAGGCCGGAUGAAUCCCUUAUCAAGUAACUCCUGGAUUUGAAUGUUUAAUUAUCUCAGCUCAAUUGGAACCAUAUAACAAGGUAGAAUAGAGAAAGGUUGAGUCCCUGGCACUAAGUUAAUACAUAAACUCGUGAAUAAUGGGAACAUUGUUAAUAAAAACUUUCUCUGCUCGAGUGUUAUGAACGGUAGCAAUAAAACCCAAACAACUAUGGUUAAUCUUUCGACGGGCUUUUACAUAAGAUAUUAUAUUUCCCUGAGUCAUAAGAGUCAUACCUUUCCACACUAAAGGUGGUUCUCUAGUAAAAUCAAAAUGUAUAAGCUUAGCAUAACAAUCAACCAAAGCAUAACAUGACACCAACCAAUCCACAUCAUAAUCAUAUCAAAGUCAGUCAUUGGCAACAUAAGUAGAUCAACUAUGGUCUCCUUACCUUGAACAAAUAUUGCACAAUCUCUAUAGUCUCUAUCCAAUGAUAAGGUCUCUCACAUUGUGGAGAUAACAAUGUAUGACACAAUAAACGUCUCAAUCUUUCUUUCUAAGAAUAAAUAAAAAGAUGAAGACACAUUCAAAUACAUAGAACCAGGAUUAAUAAGAGUAUAUGCCUUAUGAUAAUUUACAGUGAUAAUACCUGUGACUACUGCAUUAGAUGCCUUUAUGUCCUGUCUAGCCAUUGCAAAGAAUCUUGGUGGUCCACCUAUUGUCUAUGCACCUUGAGCUCUUUGUCGAUCCUGUGGAGCUAUCCUAGCUAGAUGGGUGUGAGCAUGAGUACCUACAACAUCUCUCUACAACUAUGUAGUAGCUUGACUAGAACCAGAUCUCCUUUAGGAUAAAACUUAGCAAUAUUUCCUCUUUUACCACAAGUAUAACAAGGACCAUCAACUCAAAAACAACGCCCACUAUGAUCCCUGCCGUAAUUAGAAUAUUUUGGAUGUUGUGCGGAUUGAAAGAAACCACUACUCUUUUGCUAUAUUUAUUAUGGACCCUAUCUAUAUGGAUAACUAUUCCUUGAAGAUUGGCCAAAUGUCUCUGAUGGUGCAGGCCUAGACUGUCCACCAUAAAAAUCACUUUUACUCCCAGAUAGAGAACCACUAAACCCACUUGAGUUACAUACUUUUUUGUUUACUCGAUUAAUACUUUCCAUCUCAUAAUAAGACUUAGAAUGGAGAGAUGUGUCAACCACCACAACAUAGGAUCCAUUACUCAUAUACCGUAUCAUAGGACCAUGAUAACAAGCCUCAAAUCCAUCCACAAAUCGUCUCACUUUCUCUCUCCGGUCUGCAACCAAAAAUGGAACAUAGUUGUACAACUCAGUAAACUCAUCUUUGUCCUCAGUACCUGUAUCACAGGUCAUUAAACUGGAGUCUUAUGCCAUCUUGUUUGCUCAAUGGAAUAAAUUUGUCCAUAAAUAUGACUGAAAAUUUUGACCAAGUGAUCGGUGCCUUGCUUGUCUUCCCCUUAAAAUAGAAGUCCACCAUGCCUUAAGAGACCCUAAGAACAAAAAAGUGAUAAUUCUACGCCACGAGUCUCCUUCAAUCCCAACUUAGUCAGUAUCUUCUCACAGCGAUAAAUAAAAUUUUGAGGCUCAAUAGAAGAUGGUGUAGCAUCAAACUCUGGUGGCUAAAGAUCCAUGAAAUUCUUAAAAUCCUUGGGUUGAACUAUGUAACACCCCACAUUUUUAAGCUAGAAAUCAAACUGUCGUUUCUACGUGUGCAAACUCCAAUCCCAUGAUUUAUAUUUGAAUAUAUGUGUCAUGAUAUUUAUACUAGUGUGAGAGGUGCUUAUGAGGUUAGAAAUGUUUAUAGGAACCACUAAGAGCAAAGUUGAGCUAAGAGCUUUUGAUUCGGACAAAUUUUGGUAUUCGUACAAGGGUUAAAUUUGAACGUAUAUAAAUUUCAACAUAUAUGGAAUUUUGCAUCUCAAGACUCACCGAAAUAUAUAUAAUUGAAUUAUCUUUUCAAUGAUACAAAUUUUGCCUUAAUUCGAUACCCAAGCAAAAAGUUAUGAUCAUUUUUGUAAGAAACAGUAAGGGGUCGUGAUAGCCUCACACCGUAAGGGCUAUUCCACCUUUUUGAGGGCUAUUCUAGUCAGUUGUAGUAUGAAUUCAUGGUUCAUACUAGUAUUACAGUGUUAUGUGUGUAGUUUGUAAUUUCAAGUAGUCUUGAACAUAGUGAGAGAAUUCAGUUCAACUCAGUCUUCAGUAGAUAGAGUUAUCAAUACUCAUGUGAAGAUUAUAAGUAGCCUCAAUUGAAGUGUAGUAAGGAAGGGGAACAUAUAGUUGAGAAAGUAUUUGAGGAGUAUGUCUAAGCUUGAAAGUAGUAGUUGUGUUGCUUAAGGCAUAGUAAUUCUAUCCUAGCUUAUGUUUUAUUGGCCAAUAUUCCAUGUCAUAAAGUUGUAGCCAUGUUGCGAUUCCACCUUUUUGGAGGUCGUGUUGUGAAGGCUAUUUCCCGAGACUAGGGGUCGUGCCACGAAGUUUAUUUACACGGUAAAAGAAAUCAAAGGGCAAUUGGGUCCUUUUUUCUCAACCCAAGUCGUCCAAAACACGAUUUGGGACAUCCAUGAGGACAUUAUUUGUCCAUCUUCCUAAAAAUUAUUCACUAGAAACCCUUUCCCUUUCCCAAUAUAUAAAGAUCAAGCUUUUCCUCUCGAGAAGACAAGGAUUUAAGUGUGAUGUUUAUGUU